UGAGCAAUCUGCCCUUCACAUCGGAAUAACCAUUGGAAACGAUGGCUAAUACCGAAUAUGACUUCGGAUCGCAUGAUCUGAAGUGGAAAGCUCCGGCGGUGAAGGAUGAGCUCGCGGCCUAUCAGCUUGUUGGUGAGGUAAUGGCUCACCAAGGCGAUGACGGGUAGCCGGCUGAGAGGGUGACCGGCCACACUGGGACUGAGACACGGCAGA
rnacentral:rRNA from 1 species